rnacentral:tRNA from 1 species
ACCAGAGUGGCUCAGUCGGUUGAGCGUCUGACUUCAGCUCAGGUCAUGGUCUCACGGUCUGUGGGUUCCAGCCCUGCAUCAGGCU